CAGACAAAGGAUUAAUAAUUAUUACUAUCUAACACACUCCCCUAAUUUUAAUUCCUUUGUCUUUUAUAAUAUGUUGUACAGCGGUUUUACAAACGUUAUUGCUGGAGUAUUCUCCACCCCCAUCACAUCGUAUGACACUGACUUUAAGAUUUUUGUCGAGUAUGAAAUGGAAUUCUGGUUUGUUUUGCUUUCAUACAUAUAUCACAUGUUGAGGUAAGUGUAUCUAUAUCCUUAUUGGUAAUAUUUAUCCCUUCUACUGAUUUAAUAAUAUUUUUUAAUGUUUCUUUUCCAGGAUGACCAUAUCUACGAUGCCAAUCUUCUGCGGUUUCUUUGUCAUAUGAAAUUAAGACAUUUUCUUCAGUAUUUGUGUUAAUAUUUAUGUUAUAUAAACCUUUUUUAUCUUUCUCA